UGUCUUGGGCUCUUGUCUGCAGGGUUCAGGCGCCCGUUUGAAUAGAAGAGAGCUCACUUGUUCAAAUGUUCAGCUCAAAGGAGCUUACUGAUAGGAGAAUGAGACAAGAUCCGUCUUUCUGCAAAGCCAGCGUUGAAAUGAUGCUCCAGCAUCUCAUAACCUUUCCUGAGGAACUCAACUGCCUACCAGGGUGAACACAGAUCAUCCCAGUGACGGUGUAUUCCUCUAUCUUAGGGUAAGUUGAUUCUCUAGGUAUUAUAAUGAAUUGUGUAUUUGAGCUCAUUAUCCAGAGAUUGACUUUACCUUCUUGGUAUUUGUCACUGAAGCCUGAUUGAGCCAUAAAGCUUUCUGGUUCCUCUUGUUGCCUGUAGUGAUGUUUCUUGACCUCCACUUAUUUCUCCUAGAUGCACGCUGAUCUGCCCAGGGUCAAGCUUCUAGGAAGAGUUGAAAGUAUUUGUCAGUUGUAGCUUGCCAGGGUCCAGUGCCAAUGAGGACCAAACAUCCUGUCUUAUCCCUGUUCUAACCCCAGAACCAGUAAUGGUGAACCCACUGGGGUAACUGGGAGAGGGGAUGAGAACUUGUUCCAUAAGGAACUGUCUGAGGUACAGCAAAUGCCUACAGAUAGCAUUUGCUUAGUUUUCUUGGCAUACCCAUUGAUAAACAUAGCUAAAAUAGCUAUGGCUGUUUUGGAUACUUUGCUAACUAAAUGAUUUUCUUUUUUUUAAUUAAGGAGCAGCUUGUUCCUGUGUCCAUUGAAAAGCCUUUGAAGUUGAGGUACUAUUACCAGUAACCUGCUUGUUGGUUCCAAGGUCCAGCACCUUGUCUGGAGCCCUUAGAAUGAUUUGAGGGAAACUAAGCCAUGUUUCUGCAGAGCUCUACACUGAAAUUAGAGGUCUGAGAAAAGAACAAAACGUAAAUGCUAAACAAGCACUGGCCUUGGGAUAAGCAAUAUUAAAGCAAUUGGAGUUCAUCCAACACCAGACUCCCUGUACCACAAGCCAUAACUACAGCUUUAAUCGGACAAGAGACUGAUUUCAGUAAUAGUCUUCCUGAGUGACCACUGACCAUGAGCCGCUGCGUACUUGAGUGCCUCUGUACCCCUGCUUCACUGUUUGAGGCAUAGGGCCCAAUUGUGAUACAUUUCAACAUAAGCUUCCACCCCAGAGUGAAUAUGGGUCUUGUGUAACAUGCAAAAAUAAAGCUCUCCUUUACUACAUUUAUAGAUCUCAUGAUUUUCCAGUUGAUAACUUGGAGAACAUCAGAAAGGGAAUUUGCAAGUCCUUUGUUGGACAACCUAGCUGUCUGAGUGUACUAUCAUUUUAGUCUUCACAAUA